UACGUAGGAUGCAAGCGUUGUUCGGAAUUACUGGGCGUAAAGAGUACGUAGGCGGUUUGAUAAGUCUGCUAUUAAAGACUGGAGCUUAACUCCAGGACUGUAGUGGAAACUGUCAGACUAGAGGACAAUAGAGGAAGUCGGAAUUCUCAGUGUAGCGGUGAAAUGCGUAGAUACUGGGAAGAACACCAGUGGCGAAGGCGGCAUCCUGGACCGGCAUUGACGCUGAGGCGCGAAAGCCAGGGGAGCAAACGGG
rnacentral:rRNA from 1 species